rfam:Magnaporthe oryzae 70-15 chromosome 1, whole genome shotgun sequence.
UCGGAUAUGGUGUAGUGGCUAACAUACGACGCUCUCAACUGCGAGUCUCCGUCGUGCCCGGGGUUCGAUUCCCCGUAUCCGAG